rnacentral:rRNA from 1 species
UGGUGGAGCGAUUUGUCUGGUCAAUUCCGAUAACGAACGAGACUCUAGCCUACUUAAUAGUUCGGGGACCCCCACAAAGGGGCCCCGCUUCAACUUCUUAGAGGGACAGGUGGCGUUUAGCCACACGAGAUUGAGCAAUAACA